UGAAUACGAGAUGCUACGGCGUCGAAGCAGUCUAUGUCAUACUUCCUAGAAAAGCUUGCACUGUCAUAAACAAAUAAUGCCUGUGCCAUAACCGACACAGGUGGGUAGGUAGAGUAUACUAAGGGGCGCGAGAUAACUCUCUCUAAGGAACUCGGCAAAAUGACUCCGUAACUUCGGGAGAAGGAGUGCCUUAUUUAUAAGGUUGCAAUAACAAGAUCCAAGCAACUGUUUACCAAAAACACAGGUCUCCGCUAAGUCGUAAGACGACGUAUGGGGGCUGACGCCUGCCCAGUGCCAGAAGGUUAAAGAAGUUGGUUAGCAUCCGCGAAGCUGAUAACUGAAGCCCUGGUGAACGGCGGCCGUAACCAUAACGGUCCUAAGGUAGCGAAAUUCCUUGUCGGGUAAGUUCCGACCCGCACGAAAGGCGUAAUGAUUUGGAUACUGUCUCGGAGAGGGGCUCGGUGAAAUAGACUUGUCUGUGAAGAUGCGGACUACCUGCACCAGGACAGAAAGACCCUAUGAAGCUUUACUGUAACCUGAAAUUGAAAUUGGACUUUACUUGCGCAGUAUAGGUGGGAGGCGUUGAGAAUAUUCUUGCGGGAUUAUUGGAGCCAUCAGUGAGAUACCACUCUUGUAAUGUUAGAUUUCUAACUUUGUAUCAUUAUCUGGUCAAAGAACAGUUUCAGGCGGGCAGUUUGACUGGGGCGGUCGCCUCCUAAACGGUAACGGAGGCGCACAAAGGUUUCCUCUGAACGGGUAGAAAUCGUAUCUAGAGUGUAAAGGCAUAAGGAAGCUUGACUGUGAGACCUACAAGUCGAGCAGGGACGAAAGUCGGUCUUAGUGAUCUGACGGUGCUGAGUGGAAAGGCCGUCACUCAACGGAUAAAAGUUACUCUAGGAUAACAGGCUGAUCUCCCCCAAGAGUUCACAUCGACGGGGAGGUUUGGCACCUCGAUGUCGGCUCAUCGCAUCCUGGGGCGGUAGUACGUCCCAAGGGUUGGGCUGUUCGCCCAUGAAAGCGGUACGCGAGCUGGGUUCAGAACGUCGUGAGACAGUUCGGUCCAUAUCCGGUGUAGGCGUUAGAAUAUUGAGAGGAGCCUUCUUUAGUACGAGAGGACCGAGAAGGACAUACCUCUGGUGUACCAGUUAUCGUGCCAACGGUAAACGCUGGGUAGCUAUGUGUGGAGUGGAUAACCGCUGAAAGCAUCUAAGUGGGAAGCCCACCUCAAGAUAAGUAUUCUCAC
rnacentral:rRNA from 1 species